AUUUUAUACUGGGGUACUUUCGACUCACCAUGGAAACCUACCGUUAGGAUGAUGGAUAACAUUGGGCCGUGGCCGCCUCCCAGCUUCAAAUAAAAUAAAAAACAAAAAAAACAAAAAGAAAGAUGGGUAACUCUGUGCUGGCUCUUUCUUCUGUGGUAUCUAUGCUGGGUGGCUUGGUGUUCGGAUAUGAGCUUGCUAUCAUCUCUGGAGCUCUCCUGCAGCUGCAGUCAGAGUUUCACCUCAGCUGUUUCCAACAGGAAGCUGUUGUGAGUGCUCUCCUGAUUGGAGCUCUCUUGGCCUCUGUGAUUGGUGGAUUUUUGAUUGACCGUCAUGGCCGGAGGAACUCCAUCUUGUUCAGUAACCUGCUGGUCCUUGGUGGGAGUUUAAUCCUCGUCAUCAGUGGGUCCGUCUUUGUACUGGUGGUGGGCCGAAUCACUGUAGGCUUUGCCAUGUCUAUAUCCUCCAUGUCCUGCUGCAUUUUUGUGUCUGAGAUGGUCAGCCCCAAACAAAGGGGGGUACUGGUGACUCUUUAUGAAGCCGGGAUCACCGUAGGCAUCUUGAUAGCGUAUGCCAUGAACUACCUCUUCUCUGAGGUCAGAGAAGGAUGGAAAUACAUGUUUGGACUGGCGAUCGCUCCAGCUUUAGUUCAGUUCAUUUCUAUUUUGUUUCUCCCAUCCACUUCUGUCACCUAUGUGAAAGAAACCUGUGAGUCACAAGGCCACACUGGUUUGAUUCAGCUGACCAGUGUGACAGAGGAGGAGGACGAUGUGGUUAAAUCCCAGAGAGCUGAUGAACAGUAUAGUGUCUUGGCCCUUUUCCAAACCAAAGACAACAUGAGGACCAGGACCUUCAUUGGCCUCGGUUUGGUGCUUUUCCAGCAGUUCACGGGCCAGCCCAACGUGCUCUUCUACGCGUCCACCAUCUUCCAGUCAGCGGGAUUUGAAGGGGACACAUCCGCGUUGCUGGCCUCUGUGGGCUUGGGGGUCGUGAAGGUCAUCGCAACCUUAAUCUCCAUGGUGUCCGCCGAUAGGGUGGGCAGGAGGAGACUGCUGAUUUUUGGUUGCGUCAUUAUGACGACAUCUCUGUUUGUCAUUGGUCUGCUUGGCAAGCACUCCCUGCACGAUUCCAGGAGGCACUGUGGCGCUGACGCGUCCAUUACAAAUAGCACACCCCUGGCACAAAAUGGAAUUGACCCUAUAGAAGAAAGAAUUAUAUCCCACAGUGCUUCUGCUGGUCAGCGCCUUGGAAGUUUUGCAAACGAAAGUGCAGUGUCCGGGUCCUCUGGCAUCUUCGCUAACCAGCCUGCAGGCCAUGAUAUUGUAAACUGGAUCAUAUUGAUCAGUAUGAUGGCAUAUGUUAGUGCAUAUUCCAUUGGAUUUGGACCAAGUAAGCACGUUUUUCCUUUCUGUUUAUUUUCAGUCGGUAGUGCCAGAUGCAAGUUUAAAGGUACAAUAGGUAAUUUUAGACUUCAAAUGGUCAAGAGAGGAAUAGCAGCAACAAACACCUUCAAACCACAACACUGUUUAUCCCUCCCCAUUCUCUGUAAACGCGCUGAUGUUGAAAUGCCAUUGGCUGUGGCAUUUAGAACAAAUUUUCAACCAGUGAGCUUGAAUUAUUGCACAGUAAUACAAUGUUUUGGUUCAGAGUGUCAGGCCGUCAACUGCAUAUUUUGCAACCCGAAUUUAAGGACUAUAAACAGGGUCAGUGAACAUGUCAGUGAGCCUUUUUCAACGAUAGGAAGGGAAUUUACAGUGGGCUUGUAACAAUGUUGUAACACAAAAAUCUGACCUAUUGUACCUUUAACAAACUGGCUGCUGUGUAUUUAUUUCUCUUGAUAAUGAUAUAUUGUUUAUAUGUGAAAAAUGUCUUAAUUGAACUGUAUUAAUCCAGAGUAAUCAUUUUGUUGGUGCAAGAUAUUGUUUUAGUAACUACCCAAAAUAAUUUAUCACUUCCCAAAAAUAUAGUGUUUUCACAAAAUAUUUUCUCUAAAUAUUUUCACUUUGUUUCUUUCUCUCUCUUCAUCCUACAGUGACCUGGCUUAUCCUGAGUGAAAUAUUCCCUGCUGGUUUGAGAGGAAGAGCAUUUGCAUUUGCAAACUGCUUCAACUGGGCAGCUAAUUUGCUUGUCACUUUCACCUUCUUAAAUAUUAUUGAUGCACUUGGCCUGCCUUGGACUUUC